rnacentral:rRNA from 1 species
AACAGCUGCGGAAUUUUAACUGUACUAAGGUAGCAUAAUAAUUUGCCUUAUAAUUUGAGGCUAGAAUGAAUGGUUUGACGAAGGUUAAUCUGUCUCUAUUUUACUUUUUAGAAAUUAAUUUUCAUAGUGAAAAAGCUUGGAUUUUUUAAAGGGACGAGAAGACCCUAUUGAGCUUAUAAUUUUAUUGUUGUCAGUGAGUAUUAAUUUCACUGUUGGUAUAUAAAUUUUAAUUGGGGUGAUUAAGGAAUAAAGUUUAUAUAUUAAUAACUUCCUUAGAGUUAAUAUUAUUGUUAGAUAAAGUAACCAAUAAAUUGUUAAGAUUAUUGCUUAUACUAUAGUUACCAUAGGGAUAACAGCGUAAUUUAUUUAGAGAGUUCUUAUUGAAAAAUAAGAUUGCGACCUCGAUGUUGGAUUAAAGUAACCUUAAGGUGCAGAAGCUUUAAUAAGGUAAAUCUGUUCGAUUUUUAAAACUUUACGUGAUCUGAGUUCAGAC